CGGGCGCGCGGCUCCUGAGGGGGCUGAGGCGGCGGCUGCGGCUGCAGCCCGCGAAAUCCGAACCUGCCGCACAGGCGCACGGAGGGAGAGCGGCAACGGUUGCGAAAGUAACGGGCCAGCCGAGCGUGUGGGCUGGGACUGCCCCCAGCAGGAAGACAGUCACGAUACGUGGCAGGCUGGUGCAUCACCCAAGAAUGAUAGUGCUUAGAUAGCACUUUUAAAGCUGUACUUAAGAAUAAUAGCCUUAAGAAGCCAUUCAUGGUCAUGCUUCAGUGCUAAUUUCGAAGAAAAACUUCCAGUCAGAAACGGUGAUGUCUGAGCUUAGGGAAGUCUGUUUUCAUGACAGACUGCUUUGAUUGUCAGCAGAGGAUUUAAAGACUGAAGCACAAUCUGGCUUUCCAGGGAAAUAUUUAUACAUUUUGGUUUGCCAACACAAAUAAAAUGAUCGGCUCACAGCAUAUGUUUCCCUGAGGUCCUGCUGGGCGUUCUUCAAACAUUCUGUUGAUGCUGCUACUGCUUUUCAUGCGUUCUUAAGCUGUUUUCCGGGAAAGGAGAAAUAUGGCAUUAUCUAUCCUCAGGCUCUCUCUGGAACUUCAAGUAUUAUGCUGGCAUGCUUUAUUUAUUCAGUCAGAUUAAUAAACAAUAUGCAGAUGCA